rnacentral:rRNA from 1 species
AGUGAACGCUGGCGGUAGGCCUAACACAUGCAAGUCGAACGGCAGCACAGUAAGAGCUUGCUCUUACGGGUGGCGAGUGGCGGACGGGUGAGGAAUACAUCGGAAUCUACUUUUUCGUGGGGGAUAACGUAGGGAAACUUACGCUAAUACCGCAUACGACCUACGGGUGAAAGCAGGGGAUCUUCGGACCUUGCGCGAUUGAAUGAGCCGAUGUCGGAUUAGCUAGUUGGCGGGGUAAAGGCCCACCAAGGCGACGAUCCGUAGCUGGUCUGAGAGGAUGAGCAGGCAGACUGGAACGGAGACACGGGCCAGACGGCUACGGGAGGCAGAAGGGGGGAAUGGGGGACAAUGGGCGAAAGCCUGAUCAAGCCAUGCAGCGGGUGAGAAGAAGGUAUUGGGAUGGUACAGCAUGUUAAGGUGGGAGGAAGGGAAGGAAGUUAAGACCGCGAGGUUCUGACGGUACCAACAGAAGAAGAAACGGCUAACUUCGUG